rnacentral:rRNA from 1 species
CAGUAGCCACGGUAAUACAGAGGGUGCGAGCGUUAAUCGGAUUUACUGGGCGUAAAGCGUGCGUAGGCGGCUUUUUAAGUCGGAUGUGAAAUCCCUGAGCUUAACUUAGGAAUUGCAUUCGAUACUGGGAAGCUAGAGUAUGGGAGAGGAUGGUAGAAUUCCAGGUGUAGCGGUGAAAUGCGUAGAGAUCUGGAGGAAUACCGAUGGCGAAGGCAGCCAUCUGGCCUAAUACUGACGCUGAGGUACGAAAGCAUGGGGAGCAAACAGGAUUAGAUACCCCAGUAGUCCCUGUCUCUUAUAA